rnacentral:rRNA from 1 species
CUCAAGUUUGCAUGUCUAAGUACAAGCCUAGCUAAGCAAUGAAACCGCGAAUGGCUCAUUAAAUCACACCUAAUCCACUGGACAGUAGCAGGUUACUUGGAUAACUGAGGUAAUUCUUGAGCUAAUACAUGCACACAAGCUUACGAGCCGUGCCUGCGGCGAGAAGCGCGUUUAUUAGAUCAGAACCAAUCGGCCUCUGGCCGUCCGUCUGGUGACUCUGAAUAACUUAUGGGCUGAUCGCACGGCCCUAGCGCACGGCGACAUGUCCUUCGAAGCGUGUGCCCUAUCCAGAACUGUCGACUGUGGCAUAGACGCGCCACAGUUCGGUUUUGACGGGUAACGGGGAAUCAGGGUCUCGAUUCCGGAGAGGGAGCCUUAAAAACGGCUACCACAUCAUCAAGGAAGGCAGCAGGCACGUAAAUUACCCAAAUUGACCGAACAGGUCGAGGUAGUGACGAAAAAUAACGAUACGGGACUCAUCCGAGGCCCCGUAAUCGGAAUGAGUACACUUUAAAUCCGUCACCGAGGAUCUAUUGGAGUGCAAGUCUGGUGCCAGCAGACGCGGUAAUUCCAGCUCCAAUAGCGUAUAUUAAAGUUGUUGCGGUUAAAAAGCUCGUAGUUGGAUUUCGGCGGCCGGAGGGCGGUACGACUUGUGUCGCGAUUGCCCUAUUGGCCGUGGUUCUGCCAGAGGUUUCAGGGUGCUCUUCAUCGAGUGUCCUGAGAUGC